UACGAGGGGGGGCAAGCGUUGUUCGGAAUUAUUGGGCGUAAAGGGCGCGUAGGCGGUGCGGUAAGUCACCUGUGAAAUCUCUGGGCUCAACUCAUAGUCUGCAUCGGAAACUGCCGGGCUUGAGUGUGGGAGAGGUGAGUGGAAUUCCUGGUGUAGCGGUGAAAUGCGUAGAUAUCAGGAGGAACACCUGUGGCGAAAGCGGCUCACUGGACCAUAACUGACGCUGAUGCACGAAAGCUAGGGGAGCAAACAGG
rnacentral:rRNA from 1 species